CAGCUAUUUUGUGUUUCAACCGCAGACAAUGAUAGAGGCCAGUUAAGUAGUGCAGCUAUAAAGGCCUUCCAAUGAAUUCAAAGAACAAACCUGACGUCAUUUUAAACAAAAUCAAAAAGUUUGUUUGGGGUUUGUUAUGGGAGUUUAAAAAAGCUUGCCACAGCGAACUUUCUGGAAAAACCUUUGAACUACCAUUAGUUUGUGGUGAUUACAUAACAGGAUGCAGCAUGGAAUUUUCCAAGCAGAAAGCAGCCAUAUAUGUGACCGGUUACCUGAUGAAAGAGCUCAGGACACAAAGAGGAUGCAGAGUGGAAAAAUACCAGCUGACAGGGAGACGCACACAAAAACAAACUUCAACACAACACCUGCACCAUCAAUAGAACAAGAGGCACAUUUCACACAGACCACACGUAGCCGUUCGCCCAUAUUUACUGUCAGUCACGCUGUUUCUCUUCAUACACAUGCCUCCUUUACAUCAAAACAUUUUUAUCCAAAGCAGACUCAUACAAGCAUGACACAACAAUAACGUCUAAGCAUAUAAAAUCUGACCCCAUCUGCCCUUAAAGUGAAAUUGGAUACUUGGUGUUUUGUAAAGAUAAAUGGAAAAGUAUAAUGUCUUAAAGGGCUUUUUUAUGUUAAGGUACAUUCUCUUAUGGCAAUUUAAUGUGCAGGGACAACUAAACUCUUCAUAUGUUGUAUAAAUUACAUGCUUAACCUUUAAAUUCACUCACUUGCAAGCUUUACUAAUGACACUAUUUAAAAUGUUAUCAGCAAAGCAUCUAGAUUCUCCUCACGUUUCACAUGCUCUCUGUCGGCUAUAUUUGGUGUAGCAGUAAGAACCAUGACUUUGUCAGCAGCAGUGUUGGGCAAAGUUACUUUUAAAAGUAAUGCAUUAACUAUAUUGUGUUACUCCAUAAAAAAGUAACUGCGUUCCUUAGUUCUUAUGGAAAGUAUUAUGAAUUAUGUUACAUUUGUGUUACUUGUCACCUGGGCUGGGCUUGCUUAUUUAUUUUUAAUAACAGAAAACUCAAAAGUUAUAUUUUUGGUGACUGUAAAGGCCCUUUUUACAUCAAGAGUGAAUGAAAUUAAUAAACCUCUGGCUGAAGAAAAUGCCUCUGCA
ensembl:lncRNA